AUUAAAAAGCGAUUCAUUCGAAGUAAUUAUUUUAUUAUUAUUUAUAGAGAGUUUGUGGUUGGUGGAAACAAACAAAAUUAAAAUAAUGAAUUACAAAUGAUGAUUUUAAGUCGGAUAGUAUCCGUUAUCAAUAAGAGGUAAUAAACUAUUAUUACAAACAAAGGUGGUACCACGAGCAAUUCGUCCUUUAU
rnacentral:ncRNA from 1 species